CGUACACAAAAGCGCAUGUGUUGUGAGCUCGAUGAGUAGGGCGGGACACGUGGUAUCCUGUCUGAAUAUGGGGGGACCAUCCUCCAAGGCUAAAUACUCCUGACUGACCGAUAGUGAACCAGUACCGUGAGGGAAAGGCGAAAAGAACCCCGGCGAGGGGAGUGAAAAAGAACCUGAAACCGUGUACGUACAAGCAGUGGGAGCCCCACCACCAAAGCAUUCUCUGGUGUUGAAGGCCCUGCAAAGCAGCAUCGCGGUGGCGGAGCGUCGUUUGCGACGCCCAACACAAAAAACAAGCGGUGAGUGCUUUGGGGUGGGGUGACUGCGUACCU
rnacentral:rRNA from 1 species